UACGGGGGGGGCAAGCGUUGUUCGGAAUUACUGGGCGUAAAGGGUGCGUAGGCGGUCCGCUAAGUUGGAUGUGAAAACUCUGGGCUUAACCCAGAGCCUGCAUUCAAAACUGACGGGCUAGAGUUCUGGAGGGGGUAGCGGAAUUCCUGGUGUAGCGGUGAAAUGCGUAGAUAUCAGGAGGAACACCGGUGGCGAAGGCGGCUACCUGGACAGAGUCUGACGCUGAGGCACGAAAGCUAGGGGAG
rnacentral:rRNA from 1 species